GGGCUUGCGCGAUGGGCGGCUCGGCUAGAGGCUGAGCUCUGGCUCCGCCUGGAGGGCGGGCCUGCCGAUUACUCACUAUGUUUUUAGGGGAUUUCGGGUUCCCCGCCCUCCUCCCGCCGCCGGUCGGAGGAGUUAGGUGAUGUCACCCUGGGCCGGGCCAGGAGCACUGCCGGGGCUGCUGGGCUGCGGCCGCCCUCCUGCACUGGGGAAAAAGCUCGGGUCUCCAGCGCCCGCAGAGAUAGGGCGGCUGAACCCCACGCGGUUCCCGAGCCAUCAAGGUGCCUCUGGUGGCUGCUGCCCCGAGCACGUUUUAGUUCCUUGUCCUCCCCCAUCUGGACUCUGCCGGGAGAGGGAAUGUGGGCGGUGGGUUUCGCCAGGGCGCCCGCUGCAGCCGGCGAGCUGCUGAGAGUUGUAUACCUGACCGUUGAAAAGUGCUUUUAAGGAGCAGCCGACCUGUGGCCAUCGGGGGCGAAGAGUGGGACGUGCCCUGAGUAAACCCUGGGCUUCUUGUUGCCUCUGUGCCCUGGAUCUCAAGACUCAAGACCCCAGACCAGGUGUCAGGUAUUUUGCCUCAUCAAGGAGAGAAAAGUAACUAAGACAACAUGCAAUUCUGUAGUCCCGAAACUCUACUUGAACUUGCAGUCAUCCUGCCUUAACCUCCCAAAGUUCUGGGAUUACAGGCUCCCUGCCUUUUGGUGGUGCCAGCUACAACCCCUGGUGAGCCUUCCCAUUAUCCACACCCAGGACUAUGGGAAACCAAUCUGUGGACUACCUCUGAGAAGCCUCACCUGUGAUCACACGAGGCUUUGGGGGACCGUCUAGACGUGAGCCACAACAGCCUUCCUCAUCUGAGAUGGAACCCAGGGGUGCUCCACCACUGAGAUACAUUUGUGGCUCUUUUAAAAUAAUUUUUGGGCAGAGGCUGUGCACUCGGCUCAGGACCUGCUGUGCGGGGCGUGCAGGGGCAGGAAGGGGAGUGCCGGCAGGUUCCAGGGAGGGGACGUCACUGCAUGGAGGACAGCUUGGAAGAGAAGUCAGGUCCGGAGAACAUAAAUGAUGUCCUCAAGGUCUCACCAUAAAUUUGGAUCUGCAAUCUAAGUGUUGGUUUUCUUGCAUCAUCAAACGUGAGAACUGACACUGAACAAAAGAAGGUCCUCAUGCUGAGAUGUGAGACUAGUAUGGAAACCAGCUUAGUGGGGUGCCUCAGAAUCAAUAAGGGUACCUGCAGAACUAUGGAUUUCUCAGCCUGUCUCCUGCCCACAGAGAUACAAUUUCAGAAUCUGCAUUUUCACAGGUGUUUCAGGGCACCACUGUCAGGGAGAAACAUAGACCCGAGUGGCAUCAUCCAGUAUCCAAGGAAACUGUGAGCUUUGGCUGCUGUCUUCCUUCGGGAGGAGCUUCAGUCCUUGUCUCCAUCUUGGUCGUCGUCUCCUGACUUCCAGUGACAGAUCCCUCAGCCGUCCAGCACAGAUCUUCACCCUGCUGGCACAGACCCUCCAGCUUCCACCAGUGGCUGUAGGGCCUUCCUGGUGCAGUGCCGUGCAGUGGUCUCCAAGCUCUUGACUGGAUCCUCCCAGUCUCCGUGUGAAGACAGACAUUUGUUCUCUUUUCCAUCUCACUCUAGUAAGCAUCAACUAGUACAUAUGGCCUUAGGAAAAAAUGGAAACUUUAAUGAAGAGAAUGCUGCUACCUGUAGUUAAAUACCAAGAAAGUAUAGCAGGCAGUUAUUGCCAGAAGAUAAAGUAUGGCUGUUGUGAGCCCUGAGAUCCGUAACAGAAGAAUCUAAUUCAUGGAUAUCUGACUCACUAAACCGAUGAACAUUGAGACAUUGUGUUGGGCCCAGGGGAUUAAAAAUAGAUGUCCCUUCUCAAGGUGAUCAUAUUUGGAAAGUCAGUUCAUGCCAGAAACCCCUGUGAAACAUUUCUAGGCUUAGAAAAAGCUACUCAGAGGAGAAAGGUUCAGUGGGAUCCUCUUGGUAUGUGUUUUCCUUCUAUGAUGGCUAGCAAGUAUUUUUAAAAUAAAUUUGUAGAUAGCAUCUUG